AAGGCGCUAGCCUCCUUGAUGAUGCUUAUCUCAUGGGAGAUAUGGACAGAGCAUAACGCUAGGGUCUUUCGAAACACGACCGUCCCUUCCAUGGUCCUAAUCUGUAAGAUCAAAGAGGAGGUGUCUCUUUGGGCAGUGGCGGGUGCGAAGCACAUGAGUGCUGUAAUGCCGAGAGAGUAG
rnacentral:rRNA from 1 species